GACGAACGCUGGCGGCGUGCCUAAUACAUGCAAGUUGAGCGCUGAAGGUUGGUACUUGUACCGACUGGAUGAGCAGCGAACGGGUGGGUAACGCGUGGGGAAUCUGCCUUUGAGCGGGGGACAACGUUUGGAAACGAAUGCUAAUACCGCAUAAAAACUUUAAACACAAGUUUUAAGUUUGAAAGAUGCAAUUGCAUCACUCAAAGAUGAUCCCGCGUUGUAUUAGCUAGUUGGUGAGGUAAAGGCUCACCAAGGCGAUGAUACAUAGCCGACCUGAGAGGGUGAUCGGCCACAUUGGGACUGAGACACGGCCCAAACUCCUACGGGAGGCAGCAGUAGGGAAUCUUCGGCAAUGGACGAAAGUCUGACCGAGCAACGCCGCGUGAGUGAAGAAGGUUUUCGGAUCGUAAAACUCUGUUGGUAGAGAAGAACGUUGGUGAGAGUGGAAAGCUCAUCAAGUGACGGUAACUACCCAGAAAGGGACGGCUAACUACGUGCCAGCAGCCGCGGCAAUACGUAGGUCCCGAGCGUUGUCCGGAUUUAUUGGGCGUAAAGCGAGCGCAGGUGGUUUAUUAAGUCUGGUGUAAAAGGCAGUGGCUCAACCAUUGUAUGCAUUGGAAACUGGUAGACUUGAGUGCAGGAGAGGAGAGUGGAAUUCCAUGUGUAGCGGUGAAAUGCGUAGAUAUAUGGAGGAACACCGGUGGCGAAAGCGGCUCUCUGGCCUGUAACUGACACUGAGGCUCGAAAGCGUGGGGAGCAAACAGGAUUAGAUACCCUGGUAGUCCACGCCGUAAACGAUGAGUGCUAGAGGUAGGGAGCUAUAAGUUCUCUGUAUCGCAGCUAACGCAAUAAGCACUCCGCCUGGGGAGUACGACCGCAAGGUUGAAACUCAAAGGAAUUGACGGGGGCCCGCACAAGCGGUGGAGCAUGUGGUUUAAUUCGAAGCAACGCGAAGAACCUUACCAGGUCUUGACAUACUCGUGCUAUUCCUAGAGAUAGGAAGUUCCUUCGGGACACGGGAUACAGGUGGUGCAUGGUUGUCGUCAGCUCGUGUCGUGAGAUGUUGGGUUAAGUCCCGCAACGAGCGCAACCCCUAUUGUUAGUUGCCAUCAUUAAGUUGGGCACUCUAACGAGACUGCCGGUGAUAAACCGGAGGAAGGUGGGGAUGACGUCAAAUCAUCAUGCCCCUUAUGACCUGGGCUACACACGUGCUACAAUGGAUGGUACAACGAGUCGCGAGACAGUGAUGUUUAGCUAAUCUCUUAAAACCAUUCUCAGUUCGGAUUGUAGGCUGCAACUCGCCUACAUGAAGUCGGAAUCGCUAGUAAUCGCGGAUCAGCACGCCGCGGUGAAUACGUUCCCGGGCCU
rnacentral:rRNA from 1 species